CCAGCCAACAAACCUUGCUAAAUAAUGUUCCACUGAGCUAUAAAUGCAGAAACUGGUGCACAUUUUGCAUUCAGAGCGAGGUGCUUUUUUCACUUUUUUUUUACACGCAAAACCAUCACCUGUGGACAAACAACAUGCCAUUGUGCCCAAAAUGCAACAAGGAAGUUUACUUCGAUCCUCAACCAGGUCCCUACAUUUUAUCCAAAUGACAUCCAUCACAUGGACACACAGGUCUAUCUGACAUCAGAAAGCUGUGGU